GAUUAGGGUUUAGAGUUUGGUAAGGGUUUGAUUUAGGAUUUGGAUUAGGAUUUGGAUUAGGAUUUAAGGUUUGGUUAGGAUUUAGGGUUUGAUUAGGGUUUAGGAUUGGAUUAGGAUUUGGAUUAGGAUUUAGGAUUUGAUUAGGGUUUGAUUUAGGAUUUGGAUUAGGAUUUGAUUUAAGGUUUGAUUUAGGGUUUAGGGUUUGGAUUAGGGUUUUGGAUUGGAUUAAAGUUUAGAUUAGGGUUUAGGGUUUGGUUUAGGAUUUGAUUUAGGGUUUGGUUUAGGAUUUAGGGUUUAAAAUAGGGUUUGAUUUAGAAUUUAAUUUAAGGUUUGUUUAGGAUUUGACUUAGGAUUUAGGAUUUAUUAGGGUUUAAGAUUUAAUUAGGUUUGGUCUAAAGUUUGAAUGAAAUUCAAUAGGGUUUUAAUUAGAAUUAAAUUAAGGUUGAAUUGACAUAUAUUUGAGUAAUGUUUGUCUUCAUUCUAAUAUUUCUUUAAGAAUUUUAUUAUUUGUUUGAAAUUUCUUUGAGUUGUUUUGAAUUUGAUUAUGUUUGUUUACUAUUAUUAUAGUCUAAUUAGAGCAUUAUUAGUAUUCUAUUAGAAUUAAGAUUUUGUUAUCGCAAUUUCUAUUCUUCCUUCUACAGCCAGGUGCCCGGAGCAUUCUCAAGCAAGACUUCACACAUUACGACAAUGCUUCUUUCAAGUUCAGCACUAUCAUGGUUUUUAUCUUUUCUUAAAUGACAAGAUCCAAUAUUGGAUAAUCUAGAGGCUUUUAUGGCAGAGUUUUGAUCCAUGUAUGGAGAACAUAAUAUAAUUCGUGUUACAACCAAUAAGAUCCGUAUUUUACGAUAAGGCAAUCAAUCAGUAAUAUUGUACGCUUCAUAAUUUCGACAACUU
rnacentral:lncRNA from 1 species